AAACGUGCAAGAUUAUCUUGGAACUCUGCUACUCUUUGAGCUUCCAAAGGUGGAGGAACCACUGAGCUACAUCCAUGUUGUCAACUUGAGGCUGAGCCUGACACUGGUGCAGACACCUUCUCUUGUUAUACCUGGUGACCACACCGCUGCUUCUGCUGCCUGUCCUCUCUCCUCUGCCAUACCUAGGCACAGCCUGAUGGGUGAUGGGGAAAGAUCUGCUGGGUUGAGGACUGGAUAAAGAGAUGGAUGUGUGGAUGUGAAGGCUGAAUGGCUUCUUUGGUUUUGUGAUUUUCCAUCUCCCCCUGCCCACAGCACACUUGCUCAACACAUGGGUUCUGUACACAGGAAAGUGACCCAUAAGUGUGGGUCAUGCACAGGCAGUUUGCCUGGAUGGCAGCUGGCUGACCUAGGUCGGACUCACAGCUGGCUGCUCCAGAAUCCCCUGAGACAACAUGCCCCACGGGAAGGAGUAGAGGAUGUGCACGACCAGAUGGGGAUCAGAAGCCUUGUACCAGGUGCAGGUGUGGGAAAUGGAGCCCCCAGUGCAACCACAGUGAGAGGUGGAGCUAGAGCACAGCUCAGCAGCAUGGCACUUGCUUCCAUGGGCAGGCCCUGGAGGGACCCUGUGUAAGGGCUCUGCCUCAUGAGCGGACUAACGUCAUUUCAAAAGGAGGGAAGCCAGUUCAGCUCCCUCUUAACCCUCUCAUCUUCUGCCCAUUGCCAAACUCUACCUUGACCUUAGGCUUCCCAGAC
rnacentral:lncRNA from 1 species